rnacentral:rRNA from 1 species
GACGAACGCUGGCGGCGUGCUUAACACAUGCAAGUCGAACGAAGUGGCGAACGGGUGAGUAAUACGUGGGUAACUGCCCUUCUUUUUGGGAUAAGCCUUGGAAACGGGGUCUAAUCCCCAAUAAAGGGGGCUGGGCUCGCGGCCUAUCAGCUUGUUGGUGGGGUGAUGGCCUACCGAGGCGGUGUAGGGUGUCCGGCCUGAGAGGAGACCGGCCACAUGGGGAUGAGACACGGACGAGACGCCUAGGGGAGGCAGCAGGGGGGAAUAUUGGGCAAUGGGCGCAAGCCUGACGCAGCAACGCCGCGUGAAGGAAGACGGUCUUCGGGUUGAAAACGUCUUUAGACAGGGACGCGGUACCUGUAGAAGAAGCCACGGCUAACUCCGUGCCAGCAGCCGCGGUAAUAC